rnacentral:lncRNA from 1 species
GGCUGUUCACACGACGGGGAUGGUGCUAGCGACUGGCCUAAAGUACAUAUUGGGUCAAAAAACUGUGAUUGGAAUCUUGGCUACAUGAUGAGUUAUAAGUUUGUAAAACCGAACAUGUACAGGUUCUCUAAGUGCUGCCAGCGAGAAAUUAUGAUUAUGUACAACCGCCCUCAAUACGAGUGUCUCCUUGUGAAGAACAGCCUUCAAGCCUAUAUAUUUUCUUCCAAACUCCCUGGUUCCGUGUCCAGUCGUCAAACAUAUUGCGAAAAUGUUUACUCGGAGUACAGUUACGUUAAGGUAGAUCGGCAUUACAAGAUGCAAGCGUGCAUCGUGAGGUGCUUUAUAAGCAGAGAAUGGGACAACAUGCUGAUUGCUGCUGUCGAUGGCGUAAAAUGUGACAAAGG